rnacentral:rRNA from 1 species
UCCUUAGAUGUUCUGGGCCGCACGCGUACUACACUGAUGCAAGCAAUAAGUUUCUACUCCGAAAGGAAAUAGGUAAUCUUUUUAAACUGCAUCGUGCUUGGGAUAGACUUUUGCAAUUAUAGGUCUUGAACGAGGAAUUCCUAGUAAGCAUGGGUCAUCAGCCCAUGUUGAUUACGUCCCUGCCCUUUGUACACACCGCCCGUCGCUCCUACCGAUUGAAUGGUCCGGUGAACCCUCCGGAUCGACCCGCGCCAACGCAAGUUGAGCAAAGGCCGAGAAGUUGGGUAAACCUUNCNAUUUAGNGGAAGGUGAANUCGUANCA